UGGUCACUCGUCAAUGGCCGGCUGCCUUCUGGAAAGCUGCUGCUGCGCGACAGUGACCCUGGGUGGAGUGAGGCAUCCACGGGUGCUCGCUCCCAGAGAUGGAGGCCGGAGCCCUGAGCAGAGGCGCCGGCUGUGCCCCGGUCCUCUGUGGCCCCCAGGGCUGCAGAGCUGGGCAGGUCGAUUCCCUUGUCACUCCUAAAAGAACAUUUGAAGCCCCCAGCAGGCUGGUGUGGGCACCCCAGUUCCUCAGCUACUCUGGGCUCUCCUUCCCCAGAGGCUGUGGGACCUGCCUUCCGGCCUCCGUCACAUGACCGCACAGCGAGGAGGCGCUUCUGUGAACCAGGAGGUGGCCCUCACCACGCAGAAACUGUGGGCGCCUUCAUCUUGGACUUCCAGCCUCCAGAACUGUGAAGGAUUGGUUUCUGUGGUUGACGAGGCAUCCGGUCUAUGGUUACUUUAUUCUAGAGCCCAACUGGGCCAAGGUGAUUACCCCAACCAGGUGGGAAGCCAUUUCUGUGGGGG
rnacentral:lncRNA from 1 species